CAAGAUUCCUGGCAUCCUUCCAAUCUCACCUCCCCCGCCCUAUUUACCCAGGAGCAAAAGAAGCGGAGGGAAGCAACACAGCGCAGCGUGACUACGUGCUUGAUCUGUCUCCUCCUAACGGGCAUGCAGGGCUCCUGGAUGCUGUGCUGAAAACACCACGUACAGAAGCCAGUCUAACCUUCUGGAUGAUGAGAGCCCAGAUGCAGUACAGAGGUGCCCCAGCCAACAAUCAGCUGCUAUCUGAAUCCCAUCUGGAUCCCAUCUGAAUCCCAUGUCACCAUGAAUGAGGCCACCUUAGCCCAGCCAGCACAGCUGAAAGCCAGAAGCAGCCGCAUGCACAAGCCCAGGGGAAGCCCACAGAGGAACCACCAGCCAACACACAGAAUUGCAAGCAGUUAAGCAACUAAGAUUAAGACAACAAUUUUAAAAUGAACCAGGUCCGGCCGGGUGCGGUGGCUCUCAGGCCUGUAAUCCCAGCACUUUGGGAGGCCGAAGCGAGCGGGUCACCGGAGGUUGGGAGUUCGAGACCAGCCUGACCAACAUGGAGAAACCCCGUCUCUACUAAAAAUACAAAGUUAGCCAGGCGUGGUGGCGCAUGCCUGUAAUCCCAGCUACUCGGGAGGCUGAAGUAAGGUUAUAACAUGGCCUGGCGUGCAGUACGUG
rnacentral:lncRNA from 10 species